GUGGCAGAUUGCGGCUCGGCCGAGUGCAGGCGGCUCGGGUACGAGCGGGAGCUGGAAGGAGUAAAGGCAGAGAGGGACGAGUUCUGCGCCGAGGUCCGACUUCUCCGCACAAAGCUGCAAAAGCAGCUGCGCAGCAUGAAGAGUGGUCGCACCACUGCAGUUGAGAGCCAGGAGGUCGUGAGUGCUCUCUCUCUCUCUCUCUCUCUCUCUCUCUCUCUCUCUCUCUUCCAUUCUCCCUGUCUUUGUGUGUCUGAUUUUUUUGUUUUUCACCAACUUUGAUAGGAACGCGUGACGGAGGGAGGCCGGUCCUCGGCCGCGUCGGAGAAGGCGGGCCGGUCCUCGGCCGCGUCGGAGAAGGCGGGCCCGUCCUCGGCCGCGUCGGAGGAGGAGGCGGGCUCGUCCUCCUUCAGCCCGUGGAGUUCCGGCAGCGGCAGGGGGAACCUCAUGAGGCAAAUAAGCCUCCCACCGUCGAUGGAGGACUACCUUAGGACGUACAGGGCCCACCACGAGGGCCUAGACCCGACCCCCAAAAUGACCGAAAAUGCCAUAUCCAAGGUCAGCAGGGUGAAAACUUUCAUCUUGUAUAUGGCCAACAACCGCAGCCGGUUGUCCGACUGGCUUUUUCUGGAUAACAUGUCCAGGAUCCGCGGCUGGUCCCGAAGUGUGGUGGAGGGCGGGAUGAAAAUUACCACAGCAAAAUUCUAUUUGCAGAACGCCCUGCACUUCGUUCGAUUUAUGACCGGGAUCCCGCCCAAGACCUGCCGCCUCACUCGGGUGCAGUUCACCUCCGUGGAGAGGGAAUUGAAGACGGGGGUGAGGUCGCUGCAGCGGAGGGUGGUUGUCCACCAGAUGUCAACAAAAAGGAUCAAAAUUAGCAAGCUGCCGUCCCGCCAGGCCCUGAGGGGUUGA
rnacentral:lncRNA from 1 species